rnacentral:rRNA from 1 species
UUUUGUAAUUGAUAGUCCACGAUUUAUUAUACUUUAUUUUUAAAUUUAUAUAUCGUCGUAGUUUGAAUAUUUUAUUAUUGAAUGUUUUCAGAUCAAGAUGUAGUUUAUAAUAGAGAAAGGAUGGGUUACAUUAAAAAUUAUUAAUAAAUUGGAUUUGAAAGUAAGCUCUAAAAUAUGUACAUAUCGCCCGUCGCUUUCGUUAUAAAAUGAAAUAAGUCGUAACAAAGUAGGCUUAUUGGAAAAUGUGCCUAGAAUGCAAAUUAGAGCUUGGUAAGCAUUUUAUUUACAUUAAAAAGUUAAUUGUGAAAUUCAAUUUAAUUUGAAUUAUAAAAAUAAUUUUAUUUAUAAUUUAAAUUGUAUUAAUUAAAGAUUUAUUAUUUUUAUUAUAUUAAUGAAAAAAUUUUAUUAUAGUGAUAAGUAUUGUGAAAGAAGUUUUUUAAAUGAAUGAAAGAAAAUUUGAUUUAUUGUACCUUGUGUAUCAGGGUUUAUUAAUUUGAAUUUCUCGAAUUUAAAAGAGUUAAUUUUAUUGUAGAAUAAAUAUUUAAAAUUAAAAAUUAGUAAUGAAAUGUUAUUCGUUUUUAAAUAUAUCUAGUUUUUUAAGAAAUAAAUUUAAUUUAUUUUCUAAUAAUUAUAAAUAUUAGGGAUAAGCUUGAAGAUAUAUUAUUAAAAAUUUAUAAUUUAAUAAAAUUUAUAGGAUUAGAAUUUUCCAUUAUUAAUAGUAUGUUAUAAUUAAAAAUUUUAAUUUUUCUAUUAAAAUAUUGAUUUUAAUUAUUAAAAUUAAGUAAUAAUGAUAAAAUUAGUAAGAUAAUAAUAAGGAAUUCGGCAAAUAUUUUUUUCCCCUGUUUAUUAAACACAUGUCUUUUUGAUUAUAAUUUAAAGUCUGGCCUGCCCAAUGAUUAAAUGGCCGCAGUAUUUUGCCUGUGCAAAGGUAGCAUACUCAUUAGUUUUUUAAAUGGAAGCUGGAAUGAAGGGUUUAAUGAGAAAGGAGCUGUCUCUAGAAUUUUAUUUUUAAGUCAAAAAGCUUAAAUAUUUUAAAAAGACGAGAAGCCCCUAUAGAGUUUAAAUUUAUUUAA